UACCUUGAGCUACGGGAUAACAGAGAGAAAUUUCUGCUAAUACCGUAUGUGGCCUUUGGGCGAAAGAUUUAUCGGCUUAAGAUGAGCCCGCGUUGGAUUAGCUGGUUGGUGGGGUAAAGGCCUACCAAGGCGACGAUCCAUAGCUGGUCUGAGAGGAUGAUCAGCCACACUGGGACUGAGACACGGCCCAGACUCCUACGGGAGGCAGCAGUGGGGAAUAUUGGACAAUGGGCGCAAGCUUAAUCCAGCCAUGCCGCGUGAGUGAAGAAGGCCUUAGGGUUGUAAAGCUCUUUCACCGGUGAAGAUAAUGACGGUAGCCGGAGAAGAAGCCCCGGCUAACUUCGUGCCAGCAGCCGCGGUAAUACGAAGGGGGCUAGCGUUGUUCGGAUUUACUGGGCGUAAAGCGCGCGUAGGCGGAUAGAUAAGUCAGANGUGAAAUCCCGGGGCUCAACCCCGGAAUUGCCUUUGAUACUGUUUAUCUUGAGUGCAGAAGANGUAAGUGGAAUUCCGAGUGUAGAGGUGAAAUUCGUAGAUAUUCGGA
rnacentral:rRNA from 2 species